rnacentral:rRNA from 1 species
ACGGAGGGUCCAAGCGUUAUCCGGAUUUAUUGGGUUUAAAGGGUCCGUAGGUGGGAUAAUAAGUCAGUGGUGAAAUCUCUCGGCUUAACCGAGAAACUGCCAUUGAUACUGUUGUCCUUGAGUUUACGUGAAGUGGGCGGAAUGUGACAUGUAGCGGUGAAAUGCAUAGAUAUGUCACAGAACACCGAUUGCGAAGGCAGCUCACUAAAGUAAUACUGACACUGAUGGACGAAAGCGUGGGGAGCGAACAGG